rnacentral:sRNA from 1 species
CCUCCGGCACCUGUGAACAUAGCUAGUGAGAAGGUAAAAAUUUUAUGGCAUGGCGUUCGCAGCUUACGUGGCAGACUUUCGUCAAAAUGAAUCUCAUCCUGAGGCUACAUACCUCGAAUAGACUGAGCGAGAAAGGCGGCAGAUAGAAGUGCCAUUCCAGCCGAUGGUUUUGGACGCAAGUAUUACAGCCACAAACCAGGAUAAAAGAUUACCAGGAAAUGGGCUCAAUGGGAUAUGGAAUGGGCUGUAUGAUGUCGAUCCAUUUGCAGGAACCAGAAAAAAUCUCAAAAAGCAGAUCAAGACGAGUGUUGAAGUAUCUACGUCAUAAGGACGUUAUUUCGCAUCCCUAACGGUGUUUCAUCAGUUACACUGUGUGCUAUCAUCGAAUGGAUGAGCUCGAUUCCUCAGCCUCCGUUACGGAUCAUGCCACUGCAUCGACAUGGCUCGGUUGGCUUUCAUGUGCCACGCUGAUACCGUAGUCAUCACUUGGAAUGGGGCAUUCUUUGAGGGAGAGCCAGAUUUUUGUGCAAAGCAUCAGUGCAGAAAUUCUGAUGCAAUUCUUGAAUGCUCGAAACAUGAGGUCAGUAAGGAGAAGGAAUUCGCCGG